GACGAACGCUGGCGGCGUGCUUAACACAUGCAAGUCGAACGGCAAGGCCCUGCUUUUGUGGGGUGCUCGAGUGGCGAACGGGUGAGUAACACGUGAGUAACCUGCCCUUGACUUUGGGAUAACUUCAGGAAACUGGGGCUAAUACCGGAUAGGAUCUCCUGCUGCAUGGUGGGGGUUGGAAAGUUUCGGCGGUUGGGGAUGGACUCGCGGCUUAUCAGCUUGUUGGUGGGGUAGUGGCUUACCAAGGGUUUGACGGGUAGCCCGCCUGAGAGGGUGACCGGCCACAUGAGGCCUGAGAGACGGCGCAGACGCCUACGGUAGGCAGCAGGGGGGAAUAUUGCACAAUGGGCCGGAGCCUGAUGCAGCAACGCCGCGGGCGGGAUGACCGCCUGCUGGUUGUAAACAGCUUUCGCCUGUGACGAAGCGUGAGUGACGGUAAUGGGUAAAGAAGCACCGGCUAACUACGUG
rnacentral:rRNA from 1 species